rnacentral:misc_RNA from 1 species
AAAAGUAGUGUAUUUUUGGAGAAUUCGACACGGGCGCGACAUCGGUAAGUGAAUAGUCCGCGCAACAAGUAGGUCCCUCGUCAAGUGUUUGUGAUUACUACAAUCAACAAUCUUAUCCAAAGACAAUCCAUGGAAUAUGAGCAGAGAUUGAUGUCUAUGGGAUGGAGGAAAACGCGAUAAGAUGUGGGGGUAUGUGAUUGAACGUGACCUCAGUUGCAGGGGCGAUUGAGUCUAAUAUCACCCUCUUCCAGCCAGUGUAUGAACUCUAGCAUUGUAUUACGAGUUGAACAGAAGAAAAUAACUUUUUCAGAUCUCUCAUAUGUAAAAACGAAGAUUUCUUGUAAAACAGAUACUUA